GCCGGGAUGGCGAAAUGGUAGACGCACUGGUUUUAGGAGCCAGCGGGGAAACCCAUGGAGGUUCAAGUCCUCUUCCCGGCACCA
rnacentral:tRNA from 1 species